rnacentral:rRNA from 1 species
UACGUAGGGGGCAAGCGUUGUCCGGAAUCAUUGGGCGUAAAGCGCGUGUAGGCGGCUCGGUAAGUCCGCUCUGAAAGUCCAGGGCUCAACCCUGGGAUGCGGGUGGAUACUGCCGGGCUCGAGUCCGGAAGAGGCGAGUGGAAUUCCCGGUAUAGCGGUGAAAUGCGCAGAUAUCGGGAGGAACACCAAUGGCGAAGGCAGCUCGCUGGGACGUGACUGACGCUGAGACGCGAAAGCGUGGGGAGCAAACAGG